CCUGGAGGAAGUGACAGGACGACGAGAGCCAUAUCGGUGAGCAGAGAUUUUGGAGCGCAGCAACAGACAACAUUGACAUUUACACACUCGUGAUUGACUGAGCACGGUCCAAUUCACACAUAUACACGUAUAGAAUUACGUGGGAGAAUGCUUUCAUACCGUCCUGCGCAUUCAUAUAUAUACAUUGAAAAAAGUAUAACUGCUGUCGUUCGUUCACUUAUUUUCAAUUCAAAUUGUUUAAAAAUAUUAGGUUGUUUCUUUCAAGUGACUUCAUAAUUUAUAUUUAUGGUUAUGUUUUUUUUUUACUUUGAUGUAAUGCAAGGUACCAAAUGUAAUCAUUUGAUUUGGACCAAUUAAUUUUUUUUAGACUUUGAUUGCGUGCAUCCACAGUAUUUAAAGCUUUUGGCAAAAAUGGACCCGAGCAGUGACGGACGUUCAUAAUAUUGCUGUGCCUGACUAGAUGUUAUUUGCAGCCCUCGAUGGAGCCGACGUCGUUCAGUCAUGGUGAAAGCAGGUAGCUACACUACCUGAUCGGGAUGAAACCGAAAAGUGUCCAUAAAAUGUCAAAUAGCGGGGAAAGAAGCUUCAGUAUGAAGUGUGUGAACUUUUCAACUUGCUGCCGUGUUCCAUGUGGUUUGUAUGCUCAACAAAAGUUCGCAUGCUAAAUUUAACGAGCUACCUUAUCUUCUUUCUUGCACUGUAAGCUCUAGAAGUAGUUUUGGUAAGCUAACUUUUGUUUCUGUACUUUCUUUUGAAUGUCCUUGCCUAUCAUUCCAAAUGUAUUUAACAUGAUGACAAUUUUAAAUCUUGCAGACAAAUUGAAAAACAUAUACUUUGUUCAAAUGUACAAAUUUGGCUAAACUGAAAGGAUUCUUAAUGUUAUGUAAUUAAUCCAAUUUAAUAAUUUUAAAUUAGGACAACUAAAAAUAACGGGUUUGCAUUGCCUUAAUAAAUACUUGAAGGUCAAACUUUCUGGUUACAUCAAUUCAAUAUAAUAGAUCAAACUGAUCGAAGCCUAAAUAUUGACCGUGAUAGGUGACUUCAAUAUUUUUACGUUCAUCCAGUCAGCCACAACAUUAGGGUUGACCGCUGGAAAAUGCAACACACACACACACACACACACACACACACACACACACAUGCAAAAUGCAAACAAACAACGAUUACAAUAAGAACAUAUUGAAGGCCUGUUUCAGAAAGCACAGCUAUACAAUUUAACUGGAUAACAUCAAUAAUUAAUCUCACACAGAUAAGGUAGUUUCAGUUCUAUUGCUUUCAGAAUGAAAAGCGCAGACCCAAUCAAUGACAAUGACUGCUCUCAGAACCACAGGGGCAUCUGUACAAGACGCGAGUAAUAAUGCAGCUUGUAAUCACACUUAAGCGUUCAUGUCUACACCCAGGAUAUUGACUGCAGAUUUGAACUUCAUGAAGACUUCCAUUAUCUGAGACACAACCAUUGUGCUGUGCAACAUCAGAUGCCCUCACAUCUCGCCGCAUUGGUCAAAUGCGAAUUACCCGUUUUGUGAGAUGAGUUAUCCAGAGAUACCAAAUGCAAAUCAGGUUAUGGUUCACUGGUUUCAUGACACAGGCCACACAUUACAUGAUGCACGCUUUGGAAUAUAUUUUUUGUAAAUUACUCAAUAAUGCAUUUCCAAUGUCAAUUGAAUCAAUGCAAAAAAGGGAUUGAAAACAACUUUAGUUCUAGAAUUAUUAAGUCAUUUUGUCAUUUUUACUAAUCUGAAGCGCUCCAACAGAUGUGUGUUUAAUAUGAUACAUCGACAAAAUAUACAUAAUUGUUAUGAUGUAAUUCAGAUUUAUAUGGGAGGGUGGGAGUCAACUAAUGUGUUCUGAAGGCAUGACUGGCUGCAGGUUUAUCAGGCUAAACUGCAGCAACAUGAUGAUUUUUUUCAGAGUCGAAUUCCUUCUGUCAAGCAACAUUUCCGCUCAUUAAACAAUAUUCAUGGGGAUUUGCAACCUUCCAAAGGUUUGUCCCUGUGGGCAAAUACUCAGAACCGUCUUAAAAAUAACAUUUUCGAUCUGUGUUUCGAGAAGGGUGUGUAUUCCUCAACACCGUUCUAGUUGCCAGGUUGUUUCCUUGGGAUAAACAUUUGUUUCCCAGCAACAAAAAUAAUUGCAUAAUAAGAAGUGCUGUACUGAAAUGCAAGAUAGGAGGCAAAUAAUUCCUGAGGCAUUUCCAGGGGAAAUUCGAUCAAAUUUUUGAGAGAACAGGCCUCUGGUGGAGAGUGAAACCAGAGUGCAAACACAUGCAAGCACAGUGGCAUAUUUGAUAAGACUCAGGUUUGAACACCAUUUUGUUGAAAAGUUCAGGAAAUUUAAUCACAUGACGUUUUCGGCUUUGAGUGAUUCUAGAAACUCAAGAUCAUACAAUUACUUUUAUAUAAGUGGAGGACAAUAAUCUUGACGCAAAACUAAAACACUAUUUCAAAAUCAUACAAACAUAUUUUCAACAAUCUUUUAAAACAUAAACAGACACGAGAUUGCCCACAGAGUAUGUGCCCGGAUAUAAGGCAAAA